UACGGGGGGAGCAAGCGUUGUUCGGAUUUACUGGGCGUAAAGGGCGCGUAGGCGGCGUGACAAGUCACUUGUGAAAUCUCCGGGCUUAACCCGGAGCGGCCAAGUGAUACUGUCGUGCUAGAGUGCGGAAGGGGCUACUGGAAUUCUCGGUGUAGCGGUGAAAUGCGUAGAUAUCGAGAGGAACACCUGCGGCGAAGGCGGGUAGCUGGGCCGACACUGACGCUGAAGCGCGAAAGCCAGGGGAGCGAACGGG
rnacentral:rRNA from 1 species